UAAUACGGAGGGUGCAAGCGUUACUCGGAAUCACUGGGCGUAAAGGACGCGUAGGCGGGAUGGUAAGUCUGAUGUGAAAUCCUACAGCUCAACUGUAGAACUGCAUUGGAAACUACUAACCUAGAGUAUGGGAGGGGGAGAUGGAAUUAGUGGUGUAGGGGUAGAAUCCGUAGAUAUCACUAGGAAUACCUAAAGCGAAGGCGAUCUCCUGGAACAAUACUGACGCUAAGGCGUGAAAGCGUGGGGAGCAAACGGGAUUAGAUACCCCGGUAGUCCACGCCCUAAACGAUGAACACUAGUCGUCGGAAAGCUUGCCUUUUCGGUGAUGCACUUAACAGAUUAAGUGUUCCGCCUGGGGAGUACGGUCGCAAAAUUA
rnacentral:rRNA from 1 species